CCAGUGGUGGUCCAGUGGUAGAAUUCAUGCCUUCCAUGUAGGAAACCCAGGUUUGAUUUCUGGCCAAUGUA
rnacentral:tRNA from 1 species